UACGUAGGGUGCGAGCGUUGUCCGGAAUUAUUGGGCGUAAAGAGCUCGUAGGCGGCUUGUCACGUCGGUUGUGAAAGCCCGGGGCUUAACCCCGGGUCUGCAGUCAAUACGGGCAGGCUAGAGUUCGGUAGGGGAGAUCGGAAUUCCUGGUGUAGCGGUGAAAUGCGCAGAUAUCAGGAGGAACACCGGUGGCGAAGGCGGAUCUCUGGGCCGAUACUGACGCUGAGGAGCGAAAGCGUGGGGAGCGAACAGG
rnacentral:rRNA from 1 species